rnacentral:rRNA from 2 species
AAAAUGCGAUACUUGGUGCGAAUUGCAGAAUCCCGUGAAUCAUCGAGCUUUUGAACGCAAGUUGCGCCUGAGGCCUCUCGGCCGAGGGCACGCCUGCCUGGGCGU